rnacentral:rRNA from 1 species
UGGGGAAUCUUGGACAAUGGGGGCAACCCUGAUCCAGCCAUGCCGCGUGAGUGAUGAAGGCCUUAGGGUCGUAAAGCUCUUUCGCCUGUGAAGAUAAUGACGGUAGCAGGUAAAGAAACCCCGGCUAACUCCGUGCCAGCAGCCGCGGUAAUACGGAGGGGGUUAGCGUUGUUCGGAAUUACUGGGCGUAAAGCGCACGUAGGCGGACCAGAAAGUUGGGGGUGAAAUCCCGGGGGCUCAACCCCGGAACUGCCUCCAAAACUAUUGGUCUAGAGUUCGAGAGAGGUGAGUGGAAUUCCAAGUGUAGAGGUGAAAUUCGUAGAUAUUUGGAGGAACACCAGUGGCGAAGGCGGCUCACUGGCUCGAUACUGACGCUGAGGUGCGAAAGUGUGGGGAGCAAAACAGGAUUAGAUACCCUGGUAGUCCACACCGUAAAACGAUGAAUGCCAGUCGUCGGGUAGCAUGCUAUUCGGUGACACACC